ACUGCAUUAUGCACCAGAACCCAUCAGAACUCCGAAGUUAAGUGCGCUUGGGCGAGAGUAAUACUAGGAUGGGUGACCUCCCGGAAACCCCAUGU
rnacentral:rRNA from 1 species